CUCAAACCUAAGGCAGUGCCGACUACUCAUGGCUGGUUUGUUAUUCUCUGCCCUCUCUUUCAUCAUUCCAGCUGGCCAGAACUACAAAUAUAGAAAUCUUUCACUUGGACGUUCUGCUUCUUGGUUAUUACAUGUUUCCUUCCAAAUUUCAUCUUCUCCCAUCUCCCUACAAACUUCAAAAGAGGUGUACAAAGGAACUUAAGAGCCAUUUUCUGCUUACCCACCUCUUUAGAAGGUGGGGAGGAUGACUCAGGAAAAUGCAGUAACUGACUGAUGCUAAU
ensembl:lncRNA novel transcript